ACAAGAUGCGCAUGCUUGGAUGGUCCAUGAUGAGUACCUGUCCGGAUGGAUGGACAGAACGACUGAUGGACUGAGGAGUGGGCAGGAGAAGUUCCAGCUGCCCCUGAGGACCGCCAGGGCGGAAGGAGCAGGAAGGAGGUGCUGAGGCCGGAACUACUUGAGAUGGGGGAAGAGGCGACCUCCACCCCUCUCCCAAGAGCCCCGACCCAUGGCGGAGACGCCCGAGUCCUCACGCUGCAUGAGCUCCGGCACGGGAGAGCCGGGACGUCCAGCAGGACCGAGUCCCCGCCCGCCCCCUCGAGGAUCAGGUGCUCAACGCCCAGCCGGGCCGCCAAAUCCUCGC